GCUCUUUUUCCUUUGCAAUCCUUCCCUUUUUCUCUCUUUUUCAUUUUCUUUUUCUUUUGUUCUAGUCUUUCUAUAGCCGUUGCUUCUGCACUAGAGUUCUUUCCAUGGCUGUUUUCCGUUAGCGUCCCGUUAAACGCCGUUGGGUGUUGUGCAUUGCAUUGUCGUUAAGCGCGUAACCUCUGUUAGGUUUCUGUCAGGUUCCUUGUACUUCCGUGACACAUAGCGUUUGGUGUGUGAUUAGAGUGUCCACCGUGUUUGGUAUGUGUCGCUCUAAGUUUUUACGUGGGAUAAACAAGCCCCAUCCCCAUCUGACAUGCUGACUCAUGUCUCUUCGUUCGUCGUUCAUGAAACAAACAGGAUGAUGUUCUGGAAAACAGCAGAGCGAGUGCGAUCGAGAUCAAUUUCUGAGGGUAUAUAGAACUGAUGAGCUUGCAGCAUAUUCGAUCGAUGGCUUGCUGCGAUUAAAUGUGGAAGGCGGUUGAAGUACAGGAGAAUUUAAGAGAUGAGGUGGACCAUGCAUGGUGAUUUCACAUCAAAUCAAAUAAACAUAUGAUUCCAAAUAUGCAAUAGCGAUAUAGUUUGGAAGCAUCGAGGGACCAUUCAUUAUAUAUACAUACACAUUGGGGUAUCAAA